UUUUCAGAUGGUUUCUGUAAAAAAUGAAAGUGGCCGCAUCCGUGUUCAUCAUCAACCUUUAUAUAUGUUUUGUAUUUUUAUCAAAUACAACUUACAUUUCAAUAUUAUGAAUGAACACGAAUGCGGCCACUUUCAUUUUAGAUGGAAACCGUCUAAAAA
rnacentral:sRNA from 1 species